CAUUUAUAAUCGAUAUGUAGACGAAUGUUUAUAACCUCAUUAUUAUUUUUCGUGCUGUGCAUUAUGCUUAAACAGGUCAAAAGCCAUAAGCACUCCUGAUGUGAAUAUUUCAACUGAUAGUGGUGUUCGUGAUGUAAUAUCUGGGACAACGGACGAUCAAGCUUCUGGGAUCCACGCCCAGGGGUUUUCAAAGGAUUUCGUGCAGUGGCUCAAUCAAGGAGAGGCGUUUUGGUACUGACAUCGCAAGGUGGGCUUACCAUGUAAAACCAAGCCACACGAUGGUUGCACUUGCAACCCAAACCUGGUUCCAAAAGCAUCAUAACUCUCAAAGACCAUUGCAAGCAAGGAGGGCACCAUCGACGUGCACGAGAUUUGCUUGUCAACCAUCAGCAUUCUCCUCGCGGCCAAAUAUGAUGACGGGGCUUAGAGUCGCACACACUGUUAGCAGACUUGUCUAGGGAAGUGUACCAUUCUGUUCAUUGAUUGGAGCUUGCUCACCAGGCGGGUAGAUAGCGCAUCGCUGUUGUUCUUCUUUAAAAAAAAAGGAAAGAAAGAAGGUGGUAGGUAGUAGUAUAUUCUUUUGAAGAUGUACCAUUGUCCAGACAUCAUCGUCUCCAUCUCCAUUGUGUAAAUAUAUAUGUAUGUCCCAGGUGCUCCCACCUUUCGCUUCGCCGUUGUGAGAGUUGAGGUGGGCAAAAAAGCAUCAUUUUCCCCCCUCGGUUGGGGGUCUUUCCCUUCUGGAAUCGUGUACAUGUGUCUUCUGUGGCAGGCAACAGGAGGCGAGAUUGUUGUGUACUUCCCAUCGUACUAAACCCCUCUGUUACCGAUACUGCCCCCUUGGACCGUUCG
rnacentral:lncRNA from 1 species